rnacentral:lncRNA from 1 species
AAUUCAAAAUAUAAUUGGGGAUUUGAUUUGGACGAAAAUAAACUUAAAUGGCAGAUUGUAAUAGAAACAGAUUGUAAUACAAAGUUAUGAAGAAUCAAUGGAUGAUGAAAUGGCUAAGGGGUUCUUCUCCACACAUGAAAUAUAUGCAACGUAAAUCAAUUUCCAGUUAUCAAUUCAAUAAGUUAUGAACCUCAACACUCCAAGUUAAUUAGGUCCGCUUAAAUUAACCUUCAGAUUUCCCUAGGAUCAUUGAAUUGGAUGAAUAUGCAUCGCAACCAAAUUAUUCCUAACAAGUUCUUUAUAUGAACAGCAUGAUAAAGACACAAGUUAGAAACAUUACGUUCUUUGGAAAUCAUAAGCAUUGACAAGGCAUUCGUAACUAUGAAAAGCAUGAUACUCUUGCCAGGAAUCUACUUAGCAUGAUCGUGACUAGCGACCUUCACUACUUACGAAUAUAAAUUCAUAACGAUUAGGUGAAACAAAUUUAUAUCCUAG